rnacentral:rRNA from 1 species
GACGAACGCUGGCGGCGUGCUUAACACAUGCAAGUCGAACGGAAAGGCCCUGCUUGCAGGGUACUCGAGUGGCGAACGGGUGAGUAACACGUGGGUGAUCUGCCCUGCACUUCGGGAUAAGCCUGGGAAACUGGGUCUAAUACCGGAUAGGAGCCAUUUUUAGUGUGAUGGUUGGAAAGUUUUUUCGGUGUAGGAUGAGCUCGCGGCCUAUCAGCUUGUUGGUGGGGUAAUGGCCUACCAAGGCGGCGACGGGUAGCCGGCCUGAGAGGGUGGACGGCCACAUUGGGACUUAGAUACGGCCCAGACGCCUACGGGAGGCAGCAGUGGGGAAUAUUGCACAAUGGGCGCAAGCCUGAUGCAGCGACGCCGCGUGGGGGAUGACGGCCUUCGGGUUGUAAACUCCUUUCGCUAGGGACGAAGCUUUUUGUGACGGUACCUAGAUAAGAAGCACCGGCUAACUACGUG